rnacentral:tRNA from 8 species
AGUCGUAUGGUCUAAUGGUUAUGAUUUCUCGUUCACACCGAGAAGGUUCUGGGUUCGAUCCCCAGUACGACUA